rnacentral:rRNA from 1 species
GGGAAACUUACCAGGUCCGGACUUAGUAAGGAUGUACAGAUUGAUAGCUCUUUACAGAUUCUAAGGGUGGUGGUGCAUGGCCGUUCUUAGUUGGUGGAGUGAUUUGUCUGGUUAAUUCCGUUAACGAACGAGACCUUAACCUGCUAAAUAGUGCUGAGUUUCUUUUCGAAACGAAGGUAUCUUCUUAGAGGGACGUCACGUGUCUAACUGAAGGAAGUUGGCGGCAAUAA